rnacentral:rRNA from 1 species
UAAAUAUAACCAUGAGACCGAUAGUAAACAAGUACCGUGAGGGAAAGUUGAAAAGAACUCUGAAUAGAGAGUUAAAUAGUACGUGAAACUGCUUAGAGGUUAAGCCCGAUGAACCUGAAUAUCCAAUAUAGAAAAUUCAUCAUUAUGACUCUAAUAUUUUUAAAUAUUAUAAUAAUAGUGUGCAUUUUUUCUAUAGAGGACAUUGUAAUCUAUUGAUAUAAAAGAAAUUUAUUAUAAGAUCGAUUGCGCAAGUUUAUUCAAAUUAUUUUGUUUACAAUUUAACAUAGAAUAAAUGCUCUCGAUUUGAUANANUGUUGAUAGAUU